UGACCGCUGGCGGCGUGCUUAACACAUGCAAGUCGAACGGAAAGGCCCAAGCUUGCUUGGGUACUCGAGUGGCGAACGGGUGAGUAACACGUGGGUGAUCUGCCCUGCACUUCGGGAUAAGCCUGGGAAACUGGGUCUAAUACUGGAUAGGACCACUUCUUGGAUGGUGUGGUGGAAAGUUUUUUCGGUGUGGGAUGAGCUCGCGGCCUAUCAGCUUGUUGGUGGGGUAAUGGCCUACCAAGGCGUCGACGGGUAGCCGGCCUGAGAGGGUGUACGGCCACAUUGGGACUGAGAUACGGCCCAGACUCCUACGGGAGGCAGCAGUGGGGAAUAUUGCACAAUGGGCGCAAGCCUGAUGCAGCGACGCCGCGUGGGGGAUGACGGCCUUCGGGUUGUAAACUCCUUUCGCUAGGGACGAAGCGUUUUUGUGACGGUACCUGGAGAAGAAGCACCGGCUAACUACGUG
rnacentral:rRNA from 1 species